GCGCCCGUAGCUCAGCUGGAUAGAGCAACGGAUUUCUAAUCCGUAGGUCAGGGGUUCGAAUCCCUUCGGGCGUACCA
rnacentral:tRNA from 1 species